UACCUAAAAGAGUUUCAAAGAGAGACUUUUUCUUUAUGUGAGUGAGAAACCCAAAAAAUGGUGAAGAAGAAUAGUAUGGGGUGUGGCUAUUACGUCGUCGUUUUGGUGCUCUUGUUCUUUGGAGCUACGAUUGUGAGAUCAGAUUCAUCAGAUCACAAAUACAAAAAUGGAGAAGAAGUCCCUUUAUAUGCAAACAAAGUUGGUCCUUUUCAUAACCCUAGUGAAACAUAUCGCUACUUUGAUCUUCCAUUUUGUUCUCCAGGUCAUGUGAAAGAUAAAACAGAAGCUCUUGGUGAGGUGUUGAAUGGAGAUCGUUUAGUCACUGCUCCGUACAAGCUUGACUUUCUAAGUGAUCGAGAAACUGAAGUAGUUUGCAAGAAGUCAUUAUCAAAGGAAGAAGUUGCAAGAUUCCGUGACGCUGUUGCCAAGGAUUACUACUUCCAGAUGUUCUAUGAUGACCUGCCCAUUUGGGGUUUCAUUGGUAAGGUAGAUAAGGAGGGAAAAUCUGACCCCAAUGAGUACAAAUACUACCUUUUUAAACAUCUUCAUUUUGACAUCCAUUUCAACAACGAUCGCGUGAUUGAAGUUAAUGCACGAACUGACCCCAAUGCCCUAGUCGACAUAACCGAAGAUAAGGAGGUUGAUGUAGACUUCAUGUACUCUGUCAAAUGGAAGGAAACGGACAUCCCUUUUGAGAAAAGGAUGGAAAAGUACUCACAGACUUCAGCUUUACCACAUCAUUUGGAGAUCCACUGGUUCUCUAUCAUUAAUUCUUGUGUCACAGUUCUGCUCUUAACUGGUUUCCUGGCCACAAUUCUGAUGCGAGUCCUUAAAAAUGACUUUGUCAAAUACGCCCAUGACGAGGAAGCAGCUGAUGACCAAGAAGAAACUGGGUGGAAGUACAUUCACGGCGAUGUGUUCAGGUACCCGAAGCGGAACUCACUUUUUGCAGCAGCCCUGGGUUCUGGCACACAGUUGUUUACCCUGACAAUUUUCAUAUUCAUACUUGCGCUUGUUGGUGUGUUUUACCCCUACAACCGAGGAGCUCUUUUCACAGCUUUGGUUGUUAUUUAUGCUCUUACAUCAGGAAUUGCAGGCUAUACUGCAGCAUCAUUCUAUUGCCAACUUGAAGGAAAAAAUUGGGUAAGAAAGUAUGGAGCAUUAUUCUUAUUGUUGCAAAGUAGCCNGUCUUGCCUUUCAGCGCCAUCUACAUUGAGCUCUACUACAUAUUUGCCAGCGUGUGGGGUCAUAGGAUUUACACCAUUUACAGUAUCUUAUUCAUAGUUUUCAUCAUUCUAAUCAUUGUCACUGCAUUUAUUACGGUGGCUUUGACGUACUUCCAACUUGCUGCAGAAGAUCAUGAAUGGUGGUGGAGGUCUUUCCUUUGUGGUGGAUCAACUGGUCUGUUCAUCUACGGAUACUGCCUGUAUUACUAUUAUGCCCGAUCAGACAUGUCAGGCUUCAUGCAAACCUCAUUCUUCUUUGGUUACAUGGCUUGCAUAUGCUACGCCUUCUUUCUCAUGCUCGGAACUGUUGGUUUCCGGGCGGCUUUAUUUUUCGUCCGCCACAUAUACCGUUCAAUCAAGUGCGAGUAAGAUGCAGAAUUCCACAUUGUCUUGGUUCAACUGGAGCCUGUGUUUUUGGUGUAAAAAUUGUCAACAUGCUUGGAGUAGUGCAGCACAUUCCCUGAUAUACAAAGGUUUAGGUCCAUUUAGAAUUGGUGUGGAGCAAAACAAAGAAGAAGAUAUGUUGAAGAAGAUGCUCAAAUCAGUUUUCAGGUGGCAGCUUUAUGUUGAACAGUGGUUUUAAUUGUGUUUAGGAACUCUAUUUGUAACAAUGAGUCUAUUAGUUAAGCUCAGCUUAUUUUUCCUAGUCUUAACCUUUUUGAUAUAUAAAAUAUGGGUCUGUUAAUUGCAUUCUUAGCUGUUUAUGCUCCAAGUAUUCUGUUGUUA